CCGAGGCAGACCUCCGGUGGCGGAUCUCAGCCGACGGCGCGGCUUCGCCGGUAGGAGGUCGGAGCGGCGGCGCGUCCCGCUAGACCACGCUGUAAUCCUCCGUCCAUAUUCUUUCAGAUGGUCCGCUCAGUUUUCCAUCCUCUCGCCCACCCUCACCCCGCACUCCGUCUCCGAUGCCCUCCUCUACGCCGCCCUCCCCGCCGCCUCCCGUCUCCGCCUCUUCCUCUUCUCCUCCCUCUCACCGCGCCUCCGCUCCCGCCCGAUCCACGGCCAAGCCAUAUCCCUCCUGCGCCACUCUUCCCAUGCCGACGAGGCCAUGUUCCACGCCCUCGCCGAUGCCCGCACCGCCGGCCUCCCGGCCUCUUCUUCCGCUUUUCUGCCCUCGUCACCGCACACUCCUCGGCCGGCCGCCACGCCGAGGCCGUCCAGGCCUUCUCCCGGAUGCAUGAGUUCGACUGCCGGCCCACUGCCUUCGUCUACAGCACCGUACUCAAGGUCCUCGUCAGCAGCGGGGUCAUCCUCCUCGCCCUGCUGCUGUACAACUGGAUGGUCUCGUCGCCGCCGGAUGCGCGCCCAACACGGCCACCUAUAAUGUACUCAUGGAUGGCCUGUGCAAGAAGGGUAUGGCGGGCGAUACGCUCAAGAUGUUCGACGAAAUGCUUGACAGGGGGAUCAUGCUCAACGUGAAGAUCUACACUAUCCUCAUCUCGGUCCUAUGAAAUGCAGGGAGGAUUGAGGAAGCUGUGCAACAAGGCAUCUCAAAACGUGAAGAGGGAGCUUCAUGUUCCGGCCUGGUUUAGUCGGCGAUCAGGAAAAGAGACUCCAUCUUAUUUUAUCGUAUGAACGCCAACCCUACCCUGUAAUAUCGUUCAUGGUUUGUCAGUUAUUUUAACUAAUGUGUUCUGGUGCAUUUUUUAUCUAUUUGUACCUUUAAA